rnacentral:rRNA from 1 species
CCUACGGGAGGCAGCAGUAGGGAAUUUUCGUCAAUGGGCGCAAGCCUGAACGAGUGAUGCCGCGUGAGUGAAGAAGGCCUUCGGGUCGUAAAGCUCUGUUGCGGGGGAAAAAAGGCAGCAUCAGGAAAUGGGUGCUGACUGAUGGUGCCCCGCCAGAAAGUCACGGCUAACUACGUGCCAGCAGCCGCGGUAAUACGUAGGUGGCGAGCGUUAUCCGGAAUGAUUGGGCGUAAAGGGUGCGCAGGCGGUCCUGCAAGUCUGGAGUGAAACGCAUGAGCUCAACUCAUGCAUGGCUUUGGAAACUGGAGGACUGGAGAGCAGGAGAGGGCGGUGGAACUCCAUGUGUAGCGGUAAAAUGCGUAGAUAUAUGGAAGAACACCAGUGGCGAAGGCGGCCGCCUGGCCUGUUGCUGACGCUGAGGCACGAAAGCGUGGGGAGCGAAUAGGAUUAGAUACCCCAGUAGUC